CCCUUGCAUUUAAGAAUGAGGACGUGAUUUGGAGAUGGAUUCAGGUUAUCGGCAAGCCUCACUUCUCCAUACAGAGUCCAUUCAUCGCGAGGGGGCUGACUGCUGAAGACUGGAUCGCGUGGCAGUCCUGAACAUGUACUUGAAAUGUCCCCUGUUGUGGCUAGGCUCCCAGUACCGUCAGAGCAUUUUCCAGUUCUCUUCUGCGUCCUUCUGGGAUAGCUGGUACAUCUCUCCAGUAUUUGCCUUUCCUUUUCCUUCAGUAACUCUGUGCUCCAAUUCUCAACCCUGUCUGUGUUGGCAAGGACAGGUGGUUUAGGUUCCUAAUUAGCAUCCCCCUGGAAAAAAGAGUCUGGGAUUGCUUCCUGGCUAUGUUUUCCCAUUGCACAGCUACACCUUCUCUCUUUCCUGGAUGGGCACUUCAUUCUUUUUUCCUGGUAUGUUUGUUUCUGGCUCCACUUUUCUGAAUGGUAACCAAGUGGCUGUGCCCCCACAUACUUUGAGAAGGUGUUUCAAACUCCCAGCAAAUGCUGAUGUCCAGCUGGUGUGACAUCUGAGAGUGCCCAUUGCAACACUAUCUUCAGAAGAUUCAGUGAAGCUUCUCUGUCCUGGUCUCUAGGUUUAUCACGUCUUUCUGAAACAACUCACAAAAACUCUGGCUUCUUUACUAUAUCCAGGAAGAGCACACACCAACUGCAGAUGCUUCCUCAGCCUGUUGAAGGAUAUUUAAACCCGAAAGCCUGCUAAGAACUUUCCCAACUAUUUCAGUUGGUCUAAUAAAAGAUAUCAGAUUUACCCAAAGACCCUAGUCACAAAAACAAAGGCAACUAAGAUAUUUCCCUUCUGUUUCCACAACUGGCUUUCAUAUACAGUUGAGUGGGAGAUGCAAGCCUUUCCUGCAAAUUUUGAGCUUCAGAACAAGCAGCAUGCAUUAGUCUUCUGGAAAGCAAAAAUUUAAAGUUUAUUCUUUUUACCUAAGCAUAGCAAAACAUACUAGUCUGGGCACAUUUUAAAUUUUUUUUUAAGCGGCUGAGUUGUGCCAUGAAUUUCAAGUAAUUCCCUUAAUCCACAAACACUGCCACUUUCUCUUGAAAUCACCAAGUUCUACCUAUAGUCAUGCUCAAGCCACAAAUCAGACUUUGGGAGUACGCAUCUUUUCUGAAUAGUGACUAUAGUCUUCCCAAAGACACCAAGGUCACUGUUCCUUUUUUCUUUUUUGGUUAGGAAAAGUCCUCCCCCUCUUUUGAAAUAAGAAAGCUUUAAAAAACAAAACAAAACCCAACAGUCACUUGUUAAACAAAAAUGACCUUUUCUAUAUCCUAAAUCAUAGCAGGUUUUUGUUAAGGAUUUCUCAGUUGUGUAUCAUGUCUCAUAUUUGGCACCCAAAUUAUAUCUAAA